AGGACAUCUACAGUAAUUGGGUUGUUGCUCAAAGUAGCACCCCCCUCCAUAUAUACACACCUUGUGCACUCUAUCUAUUACCGCCUGUCUCUAAUGCAUGUCGUUAAUAAUUCUAUGGAAUAGAAUACAACUUUCAACAACGGAUCUCUUGGCUUUCGCAUCGAUGAAGGACGCCGCGAAAGUGCGAAACGUAAUGUGAAUUGCAGAAUUCAGUGAAUCAUCGAAUCUUUGAACGCAUCUUGCGCUCCUUGGUAUUCCGAGGAGCAUGCCUGUUUGAGUGUCGUGAAUCUCUCUCAAUCCCACUUCUGUGGGCUUGGAUUUGGAUGCUUGCCGUGGGGGGUUCUGAUCUCUUUCGGCUCGUCUUGAAAUUCAUCAGCUGGUCCGCCUAUNAGUUUGGUGGUGUGAUAAGAAACACUUGUAGCGCCUUUCUAACUCGGGGAGUUGACUGCUUUC
rnacentral:rRNA from 1 species